rnacentral:tRNA from 1 species
UUUAGGGUAAGCUAAGAUAAGCUGUUGGGCUCAUAACCCAAAAAUGACCGAGUCCCCUAAAG